GCCUACUUUGUAUUUCCAGUUUUCACAGCCCACCGUUUUCAGAGACUACACACAGAGACUACACUGAUUGGAAUCGAGUUUAAAGGCAUGGCUUACAUUCAGGUGAAUUAAAGAAUCACAACUAUUAGUAUGAGACUUUUAAAAGACCACACAGGAAAACAUCUUUAUGACGAGAAGAUCAAGAGACAUUUGUUAAACAAGAAGUGAAAGGCAAAAAACCUAAAGGAAAAAAAAUGCUACAUUAAAAUUAAGAAAGUCUGUUCAUGGAAUGACAGAAUAAAGAAAGCAAAAAGACAAACCAUAAAUUUGGGAAAUAUAUUUAUAACACAUUCAACUAGAAUUCUAAUUGUAAUUCUAUUUAGCACACCACUUUCAAAGAUGAGCAGGCAGAAAAAGAUCUUUAGGCUUUGAGGAAAGCAUUAUAUGUGAAAGACAAAGAUCAACGCAACAAAAAGAAAAAUGAAAACUUACAGCAUGCAGAGAAUAUGCUAGAAAAAAACUUAAAAAAUAUAAUUCAUAUCUUUAGAAACAUGUAGAGCUGCAUCUGUUAAAUAAAAACAAGAUGCUAUAACAAACAAAUACUCCAAGAAAAGAAGGAGCUCUUGGAAAAAGCAAAGGCUUUUAUGGCACAAAUGAAAAGCUCAAUUGAAGGAUAAGAAGAUUAAGUUGAAAAAGUCUCCCAGAAAAUAGAAAAAAAAUGACAAAGGGUUAGAAAUUAGGAAAUAAAAAAACUAAGAAAAUGCAGGAAUUAUACCAGGAGGCCCAACGUAAGCAGAUCAGAGAAACCAAACAGAAGAAAAAUAUUUAUGAAAUAGUGGAAGGAAAAUUCUUCAGAACUGAACAACAUGAUUUUCCAGGUUGAAAGGCUCACCAAAUACCCAGCGGAAUGGGUGAAAAUAGCCCCUUUUUGAAUGGCACAUUGCCAGAAAUUUCAGAUCAUUUGCAACAAAGAUCUACAAACUUACAGAGAAGAAAACACAACUUUCAUACAGAGAAUCAAAGUACAGAAAUAUUGGACUUUUCAAUAGCAAGACUGGAAGUAGAUGUUUUCUAAAUUCCCAAGGGAAAGAAUUUUCGACCUACCGGAUUCCUAAUUUUGGGUAUGAGUUAGCAAAUGUAACCAUUAUGUUUGUGCCCUACCCAGGGGACUCCCCGGUUUCUGACUUGAAGUAGACUGAGAAGAAUCCACGAGGUGCUAUCUGGCCAGACUUAAGUAGACUCUGUUUCCUUGGUUCUCCCUCUCCCUGAGGACCUCUUAUUUUGUUGUCCCCUCUUCUAGGUUAAUUCUCCUUUGAUUUGACUUUUUGAGAAGGAGGUUGGACAGUAGAUUAGCAAAGUUCCAAGUGAAAAAUUACAGUGUGUUAGAGUGUGGGGGGAAAAUUAGUCUUAUUUUUCCCUACAUGGGAUACAACACUGUGAAUUCAAUCUUCAACUUAAGGCCCUGCAGUUCUCCCAAAACAUAGUUGUUUGUUUUUCUUUAACAAGGUUUAAGCUAGUGUUAAUAAAUUUAAAAAAAUUGCUUGUCUAUCUACUUCAGCUUUGUUUUAUGCCCAUUUCAUAUUGUUGUCUGUGUUGUAAUUCAUAACUUUUGAUACCAUUUCUGAUGUGUAAAAUUGGUUGUCUUGUAAAUAUCUUAUAAAGAGUUAAAUUGUAAAUAAACUAUUGUGGCUGUUAAAAAAAAAAAAAAAAGAA